rnacentral:lncRNA from 10 species
CCAGGAUCUUGCCUGUUGAUGUCCACCUCGUAGUAGUCACCAUCCGUGAUGUUGCAGUCCCUCUCGUUGUCCUGGGCUGUCUGCCACACCUUGCAGGUUCAAAAUGGGUUAUAGCAGUGGAGACAACUUGUAAUGUUGACAACGCAUUUGGCCCAGGAACUGCUAACAAACAUACAGUGCAGUAGUGGUUCAAGAAGUUUUGCAAAGGAGAUGAGAGCCCUGAAGAUGAGGAGCAUAGUGGCCAGCCAUGGGGAGUUAACAACGACCAAUUGAGAGCAAUCAUCGAAGCUGAUCCUCUUACAACUACACGAGAAGUUGCCGAAGAACUCGACAUCGACCAUUCUUUGGUCUUUCGGUAUUUGAAGCCAAUUGGAAAGGUGAAAAAACUCAGUAAGUGGGUGUCUCGUGAGCUGACCAAAAAUCUAAAAAAUCACUGUUUUGAAGUGUUGUCUUUUCUUAUUCUACUCAACAACAAUGAAUCAUUUCUCAAUUGGAUUGUGAUGUGUGAUUAAAAGUGGAUUUUAUAUGACAACUGGCAACAACCAGCUCAGUGGCUGGACUGACAAGAAGCUCCAAAGCACUUCCUAAAGCCAAACUUGCACCAAAAAAAAAAGGUCAUGGUCACUGGUGGUCUGCUGCUGCUCUGAUCCACUACAGCUUUUUGAAUCCCAGCAAAACCAUUACAUCUGAGAAGAAUGCUCAGCAAAUCAAUGAGUUGCUCUGAGAAUGCAAUGCCUGCAGUUGGCAUUGGUCAACAGAAAGGACCCAGUUCUCCACGACAAUGCCUCACCGCACGUCUCACCACCAACACUUCAAAAGUUGAAUGAAUUGGGCUAUGAAGUUUUGCCUCAUUUGCUAUAUUCACUGGUGAGAGUUGCCUCUCGCCAACUGACUGUCACUUCUGCAAGCAUCUCAACAGCUUUUUGCAGGGAAAAUACUUCCACAACCAGCAGGACACAGAAAAUGCUUUCCAAGAGUUUGUCAAAUACCAAAACGUGGAUUUUUACACUACAGGAAUAAACAAACUUAUUUCUCAUUGGCAAAAUGUGUUGAUUGUAAUGGUUCCUAUUUUGAUUAAUAAAGAUGUGUUUGAGCCUAGUUAUAAUGAUUUAAAAUUCAGGGUCUAAAACUGCAAUUACUUUUGCACCAACUUAAUAGAAUGAGUUUGGAAAUAUUCCCUCUGCCUUUAUUUGUUGGAAUAGUUUGAGUAGGAUUGGUAUUAGUUCUUCUGUAAAUAUUUGGUAAAAUUCAUAAAUAAAGCCAUUGGGUCCUGGGC